rnacentral:sRNA from 2 species
GGCCAAAGUAGGUUGGGAGUGGAAGGUGGUGGCUGCUGCUCCGCAGUGUCGGGAAGAUGGCGCCGCCGGUGGCAGAGAGGGGGCUAAAGAGCGUCGUGUGGCAGAAGAUAAAAGCAACAGUGUUUGAUGACUGCAAGAAAGAAGGCGAAUGGAAGAUAAUGCUUUUAGAUGAAUUUACCACUAAGCUUUUGGCAUCGUGUUGCAAAAUGACAGAUCUUCUAGAAGAAGGUAUUACUGGUAAGUGUUAUUCUUGGCAUGAACACUUUUUAAUUGUAAUUGGGGGAGAUCUGAGGU